rnacentral:rRNA from 1 species
UGUUUCGGCAAGGGGGUCAUCCCGACUUACCAACCCGAUGCAAACUGCGAAUACCGGAGAAUGUUAUCACGGGAGACACACGGCGGGUGCUAACGUCCGUCGUGAAGAGGGAAACAACCCAGACCGCCAGCUAAGGUCCCAAAGUCAUGGUUAAGUGGGAAACGAUGUGGGAAGGCCCAGACAGCCAGGAUGUUGGCUUAGAAGCAGCCAUCAUUUAAAGAAAGCGUAAUAGCUCACUGGUCGAGUCGGCCUGCGCGGAAGAUGUAACGGGGCUAAACCAUGCACCGAAGCUGCGGCAGCGACGCUUAUGCGUUGUUGGGUAGGGGAGCGUUCUGUAAGCCUGUGAAGGUGUGCUGUGAGGCAUGCUGGAGGUAUCAGAAGUGCGAAUGCUGACAUAAGUAACGAUAAAGCGGGUGAAAAGCCCGCUCGCCGGAAGACCAAGGGUUCCUGUCCAACGUUAAUCGGGGCAGGGUGAGUCGACCCCUAAGGCGAGGCCGAAAGGCGUAGUCGAUGGGAAACAGGUUAAUAUUCCUGUACUUGGUGUUACUGCGAAGGGGGGACGGAGAAGGCUAUGUUGGCCGGGCGACGGUUGUCCCGGUUUAAGCGUGUAGGCUGGUUUUCCAGGCAAAUCCGGAAAAUCAAGGCUGAGGCGUGAUGACGAGGCACUACGGUGCUGAAGCAACAAAUGCCCUGCUUCCAGGAAAAGCCUCUAAGCAUCAGGUAACAUCAAAUCGUACCCCAAACCGACACAGGUGGUCAGGUAGAGAAUACCAAGGCGCUUGAGAGAACUCGGGUGAAGGAACUAGGCAAAAUGGUGCCGUAACUUCGGGAGAAGGCACGCUGAUAUGUAGGUGAAGUCCCUCGCGGAUGGAGCUGAAAUCAGUCGAAGAUACCAGCUGGCUGCAACUGUUUAUUAAAAACACAGCACUGUGCAAACACGAAAGUGGACGUAUACGGUGUGACGCCUGCCCGGUGCCGGAAGGUUAAUUGAUGGGGUCAGCGCAAGCGAAGCUCUUGAUCGAAGCCCCGGUAAACGGCGGCCGUAACUAUAACGGUCCUAAGGUAGCGAAAUUCCUUGUCGGGUAAGUUCCGACCUGCACGAAUGGCGUAAUGAUGGCCAGGCUGUCUCCACCCGAGACUCAGUGAAAUUGAACUCGCUGUGAAGAUGCAGUGUACCCGCGGCAAGACGGAAAGACCCCGUGAACCUUUACUAUAGCUUGACACUGAACAUUGAGCCUUGAUGUGUAGGAUAGGUGGGAGGCUUAGAAGUGUGGACGCCAGUCUGCAUGGAGCCGACCUUGAAAUACCACCCUUUAAUGUUUGAUGUUCUAACGUUGACCCGUAAUCCGGGUUGCGGACAGUGUCUGGUGGGUAGUUUGACUGGGGCGGUCUCCUCCUAAAGAGUAACGGAGGAGCACGAAGGUUGGCUAAUCCUGGUCGGACAUCAGGAGGUUAGUGCAAUGGCAUAAGCCAGCUUGACUGCGAGCGUGACGGCGCGAGCAGGUGCGAAAGCAGGUCAUAGUGAUCCGGUGGUUCUGAAUGGAAGGGCCAUCGCUCAACGGAUAAAAGGUACUCCGGGGAUAACAGGCUGAUACCGCCCAAGAGUUCAUAUCGACGGCGGUGUUUGGCACCUCGAUGUCGGCUCAUCACAUCCUGGGGCUGAAGUAGGUCCCAAGGGUAUGGCUGUUCGCCAUUUAAAGUGGUACGCGAGCUGGGUUUAGAACGUCGUGAGACAGUUCGGUCCCUAUCUGCCGUGGGCGCUGGAGAACUGAGGGGGGCUGCUCCUAGUACGAGAGGACCGGAGUGGACGCAUCACUGGUGUUCGGGUUGUCAUGCCAAUGGCACUGCCCGGUAGCUAAAUGCGGAAGAGAUAAGUGCUGAAAGCAUCUAAGCACGAAACUUGCCCCGAGAUGAGUUCUCCCUGACUCCUUGAGAGUCCU